rnacentral:lncRNA from 1 species
AUACUGGUAAAGAAGUUGUUUGGUUAUGAAAGUUCAUUAGCGAGCUUGGAGAGGCACUCUCCAUUGAUGAUCCAGUUCUUCUGUAUUAACAGUACUACUAGAGCCAUAGCUCAAGCUGAAGAACUGAUGUUCUAUCUGUCAACCAAAUACUUUCUGCAUUGCAAUCAUCUAGUUCGAUAAGAUCGAAAUAAAGUCAACCUCAGAAAGAUCGACUGAAAGGAGAACUUGACCGACCCAUUGACUAGAGCAAUCGGAUCUAAUGAGUUCGAUGAUCUAAAAUGAA